rnacentral:rRNA from 1 species
UACGUAGGGUGCGAGCGUUAAUCGGAAUUACUGGGCGUAAAGCGUGCGCAGGCGGUUUUGUAAGCCAGAUGUGAAAGCCCCGGGCUUAACCUGGGAACUGCGUUUGAAACUACAAGGCUAGAGUGUGGCAGAGGGGGGUGGAAUUCCACGUGUAGCAGUGAAAUGCGUAGAGAUGUGGAGGAACACCGAUGGCGAAGGCAGCCCCCUGGGCUAACACUGACGCCUCAUGCACGAAAGCGUGGGGAGCAAACAGG